AGCAAAAUCGAGGAUGAGCAACUUCUGGGGAUGCAAUUACAGAAGAAGAUCAAGGAGCUGCAGGCCCGUAUAGAGGAACUGGAGGAGGAAAUUGAGGCCGAGCGAACCUCUCGGGCAAAAGCCGAGAAGCAUCGGGCUGACCUCUCCAGGGAGCUAGAGGAGAUCAGCGAGCGCUUGGAGGAAGCAGGAGGGGCUACAGCAGCUCAGAUUGAUAUGAACAAGAAGCGUGAGGCAGAAUUUCAGAAGAUGCGUCGUGACCUCGAAGAGGCCACGCUGCAGCAUGAAGCCACGGCUGGCACCCUGCGGGAGAAGCACGCGGACAGCACAGGGGGAGCAGAUCGACAACCUGCAACGAGUGAAGCAGAAGCUGGAGAAGGAGAAGAGUGAGCUGAAGAUGGAGAUUGACGACCUGGCCAGUAACAUGGAGUCUGUCUCCAAAGCCAAGGCAAACCUGGAGAAAAUGUGCCGCACUCUGGAAGACCAGCUGAGUGAGCUUAAGUCAAAAGAUGAGGAGCAUCAGCGCAUGAUCAAUGACCUCAAUACUCAAAGAGCUCGUCUGCAGACAGAAUCAGGUGAAUAUUCACGACAGGUAGAAGAAAAAGAUGCUUUGAUAUCUCAGCUAUCCAGAGGCAAACAGGCAUUUACUCAACAGAUUGACGAACUAAAGAGACAUUUAGAGGAAGAAAUAAAGGCCAAGAACGCCCUGGCCCACGCCUUGCAGUCUGCUCGCCACGACUGCGACUUGCUCCGGGAACAGUAUGAGGAGGAGCAGGAAGCCAAGGGGGAGCUGCAGCGUGCCCUGUCCAAGGCCAACAGCGAAGUGGCCCAGUGGAGAACCAAAUACGAGACGGAUGCUAUUCAGCGCACGGAGGAGCUGGAGGAGGCCAAGAAGAAGCUGGCACAGCGC